rnacentral:rRNA from 1 species
CCUACGGGUGGCAGCAGUGGGGGAUAUUGCACAAUGGGGGAAACCCUGAUGCAGCGACGCCGCGUGUGGGAAGACGGUCCUCUGGAUUGUAAACCACUGUCCCCAGGGACGAAGAUGACGGUACCUGGGGUGGAAGCUCCGGCGAACUACGUGCCAGCAGCCGCGGUACAACGUAGGGGGCGGGCGUUGUCCGGAAUUACUGGGGGUAAAGGGAGCGUAGGCGGGACUGCAGGUUGGGGGGCAAGUCUACCGUCUCAACGGGUAGCCGCACGCAAAACUGGAGUGCUUGAGUGAAGUAGAGGCAGGCGGAAUUCCUAGUGUAGCGGUGAAAGGCGUAGAUAUUAGGAGGAACACCAGUGGCGAAGGCGGCCUGCUGGGCUUAUACUGACGCUGAGGCUCGAAAGUGUGGGGAGCAAACAGGAUUAGAUACCCCGGUAGUC